CCCAUUUUGGGAAUUUUUAAAUUCAUUUUUUAACUUUAUUUUUCACUCUUUCUUUCCCUUUUUUUUACUGGAUUUUUCAGCUGGAUUCCCUCAGAAACUCUACCUGAAAAAUUCCCAUUUUGGGAAUUUUUAAAUUCAUUUUUUAACUUUAUUUUUCACUUUUUCUUUCCUGGAUUUUCAGCUGGAUUCCCUCAGAAACUCUACCUGAAAAAUUCCCAUUUUGGGAAUUUUCAAAUUCAUUUUUUAACUUUAUUUUUAAUUUUUUUCCUGGAUUUUCAGCUGGAUUCCCUCAUAAACUCUACCUGGAAAAUUCCCAUUUUGGGAAUUUUUAAAUUCAUUUUUUAACUUUAUUUUUCACUUUUUCUUUCCUGGAUUUUCAGCUGGAUUCCCUCAUAAACUCUACCUGAAAAAUUCCCAUUUUGGGAAUUUUCAAAUUCAUUUUUUAACUUUAUUUUUAAUUUUUUUCCUGGAUUUUCAGCUGGAUUCCCUGCAGCACGUCCUGCAGCAGCCGGGGAGGUUCGAGCCCCUCGUGGGGAGCCCUUUGUACUCCACGCCGCGCCUCGAGGCCAAUGGCAGCUGGCAGGACGCAGCCACCCCCUCGUCCAUCACCUCCCCCGCUGCCGACCCGGGCAGCGACGCCUCCAAUUAAAGAUUUCUUAAUGAAAAGGACCUUUUUGAGAGGAGAGAGGUCAAUUAACGUUAAUUAAUCACGGGCCGAUCGAAUGACUGACUCGCAAUGAAUUAAUUACCUCAGAACAAGCCAAUAGAUUGUGAUGGCAGCGACACCUCUACCUCUCAGCGCCGACUCGGGAUUAUUUAUAACUUCACUUCGCCUCAGAAAAUGCAGUUUUUUUAAGGAAGAAAACUUGGAUUUUACACCAAGAACCUGAUGAAGAAGGAAAAAAAAAAGUCUUGGUGUUUGUCUCCAGUUUUACAGCGGAAAAAAAUGGAUUUAUUUUCGUUUCCGUGUGGUUUUUUACUCUGGGAUUUCUGUUCUAGAUGAAUUAAACCCCUCCCUACUGUAAUUGGAUGUUCUCUGUAUUGGAAUUUUCUAUAGGGAAUUCCAUAGGAAAUUUCUGUAGGAAAUUUUUCUUAAUUAAUUUAGCUAAUUCAUGGGAAAGUUGCUUUACCAAACUUCUCGCCGGACAUCGCUCGCAGGCCGGACCUUCCAUUGGUGUCAUUCCAAGGGAUUUCGUAUCGGGAAAUUCCAUGGCUUCACUUUUUCUGGUGAAAAAGUACAAAAAUAAAAUUAAAAACUCCAAAUUUACCACAAAACAGCCGAAUCACGGGAUUUCCCCAUGGGAAUUCGAGGGGGUUUGUGCCGUUCUGGUGCUGUUCUCAGAGUCCGCCCUUUUCAGUUGAGACUUUAUCAAAGAAAAUAAAUUUCCAAAGCCUUUUUUUUUUCCUUUUUUCCCCCCA